UUAAACACCCAACUUCUGAAAUGUUGACCUCGGAUCAGGUAGGAAUACCCGCUGAACUUAAGCAUAUCAAUAA
rnacentral:rRNA from 1 species